rnacentral:lncRNA from 1 species
GGAGUUUCCAGAGAAAACCCGGCCAGUGAGCUUCAAGCAUCCUGUGUUCCAGUGCUCAGACAUGGGUCCUUCUCCCUCUGUCCCCUCCUCAGGUCUGUCCAGGUGUCACCUGCUGACCUCAAAUCUUGUAUUGUUCGAGAGUUUGAACUAACGCUCUUUUUCUCUUUCUUUCCCUCUCCACCUUCCCUCUAUCCACCCCUCCAUCCACGCUUUUGUCUAGUUGAAUUUGUGAAGGCGGCGGAUAUCAAAGUCAUCGCCGCCUUGGGGGAUUCUCUGACAGUAGGUGUUAUUUGUUGUUUGCUGCUUCCUCUGCUGUGCUGAUGAUACAGUGUAACGUCGACCAAAAAUAGAAUGCUCUGACCGUUGAUUCAUUCAUUUUGCAUACUCACUUAGUCCUGCUGAGCAGAAGGCAGCUGCAAUCGUGAGAAGAGCUAAAACGCUUACAGUGAUGGAUAAAGACUGAGUGCAAAUGAGAUGGAAAUAAACUUUAAACUGCAUUACUAACCAAAUGUUCCACCAACAGAAGAGCAGUCAGCUUAGUUAUUUUCUCUUUUUGUGCUUUUAUGAGAACGGCACAUCUUCAUAAUCUAAGAGAAAAUGCCCAAAUUGCAGCUGGUUAAUAGUGACCUGUUAUCAUCCCCUCUAUAUUUUUAUUCUUGGACUCUUUGUGUAUCAUUGCAUGACUCACAGUUUAUAAUAGUUCUCAUCCCAAGCCUUGAUUAGGCAGCAUUGCACAUAUACGGCAGAAAAUUUGGAACGGCACAAUAGGAUCCGUUUAAAUUAGAGUGACAAACCACCCACACAAACACUUACUCAUAAAACUGCUUUUUUCUCCUCCUCGGCUCCUGAUCUCUGUAUGCCGUGCCCCUUCUUUUCCAGACGGCUAUCGGCGCCAACGCCACCACUGUCCUCGGCAUUCCCAUCGAGUUUCGUCACGUGUCAUGGAGGUGCCCGUCACAAAUCUCACACAAAUAACAAUCAGGAUGAUGUGAAGCAGAUUGAUCUCAUAUGAACAUGUUAGAAACUGUAUUCCCCCAUGAGAGUGUCAGUCUGUAAGAAACAAGGUUAAACUGACAUUAACACUUCUGCUGCUGGUAUUGCUUUCCUUUCUGCUUGCAGCAUUGGAGGCUAUGGGACAUAUCAAGAUGUCAUUACUUUGGCAAGUAAGCUGUCACUGCUGUGUCCGAGCUG